UGUGGUCUCUGCAGGUAACUGGUGUCCCAGAAGACCAGAUCCUAGUGGCCGUGUUCCCUGGCCUCCCCACUUCAGCAGAGCUCUUCAUCCUUCCCCCCAAGAACUUGACGGAGAGGAGGAAAGGCAACGAAGAGGACCUGGAACAAAUUGUAGAGAUGCUGUUUAAUGCUCUAAACCAAAACUUGGUGCAGUUUGAGCUGAAGCCAGGGGUUCAAGUCAUUGUGUAUGUCACACAGCUGACAUUAGCUCCAUUGGUGGACUCCAGUGCUGGGCACAGCAGCUCAGCCAUGCUUAUGCUCUUGUCAGUCGUGUUUGUCGGUCUGGCUGUGUUUCUGAUCUACAAGUUCAAAAGG